CGUUCUGCUCUUCUCUUUCCCUCUCAUUUUCGCAUCUCCUUCUCUUCCCGAACUCCACUCCAUUGAAGCAGCUCGCUCUCUCUCCAUUGAAGUGGUUUACGAGCUUUCUUAGUCCAUUGAGCAGCAGCUCCUUCUCUCUCUAUAUCUCUGGCCUCAAUUUAACUCGUGCUCUAUAUUCUCCAUUGAAGCCGAUUAUGAGCUUUCUCACCUCCAUUGAAGCAUCUUCGAGGAUGUGAUGGAGCUCCGCUGCUACCCCUUCUGUAUAUGGUCAGCAACAUAGCAUUCAACAUAUCAGUCCUCGAUCUACUAAAAAUUUCAAGUGUCGCUGUGUCUUCACUUGUUACCAUGGUAUCAGGUUGUCUUGUCACUCUCAAGUGCUUCUUUUCUCCCUCCACAAAUUCGAUUCUUUGAUUUUAUACUUCAUACUUUACAUUUUUUAAGUGGUUAUUUUUUUAUUUUUUUUUAUCUUAAUUUGCAGUGCCAAUUUCCAUUUAUAUUCUUCCCUCCCAUUGCCAUAUCUCCUAAAAAGUUCAAGCUUGGGCUCAUACUUCGUCCUUGGAAGUGCAAUUUUGAUGUUAAUACUAGUUUGUUACAACUUACCUCAGUAUUUUAGCAAAGCUCUUGAAAAAAAUGGGAAAUCGUAAUGAAUUAUGACUCUGCCAUAGAUUUUGAGCAUUGUUGAUUCGUCGGAUACUCAUUUUUCUUUUACUGUGAAACAUUGAAUAUAAUAUCCUGAUACAUUUUUGUA